rnacentral:ncRNA from 1 species
UACCUGGUUGAUCCUGCCAGUAGUCAUAUGCUUGUCUCAAAGAUUAAGCCAUGCAAGUCUAAGUACGAGCUCUCGUACAGUGAAACUGCGAAUGGCUCUUUAAAUCAGUUAUGGUUCAUUUGAUCGUACAGUUUACUUGGAUAACUGUGGUAAUUCUAGAGCUAAUACAUGCGAGAAGCGCCGACCUCGCGGGAGGCGUGCAUUUAUCAGACCAAAAACCGGCCGCGUCUUCGGGCGCGUUCGCCUUGGUGACUCUGGAUAACUUUGCGGAUCGCACGGUCUAGCACCGGCGACGGAUCAUUCAAGUGUCUGCCCUAUCAACUUUCGUCGGUACGGUAUUUGCCUACCGAGGUUCUUACGGGUGACGGGGAAUCAGGGUUCGAUUCCGGAGAGGGAGCCUGAGAAACGGCUACCACAUCCAAGGAAGGCAGCAGGCGCGCAAAUUACCCAUUCCCGACGCGGGGAGGUAGUGACGAAAAAUAACAAUGCAGGACUCGUUCGAGGCCCUGUAAUUGGAAUGAGUACACUUUAAAAGCUUUAACGAGUAUCCAUUGGAGGGCAAGUCUGGUGCCAGCAGCCGCGGUAAUUCCAGCUCCAAAAGUAUAUAUUUAAGUUGUUGCGGUUAAAAAGCUCGUAGUUGGAUUUUGGGCGCAGGCGGCCGGUCCGUCGCAAGGCGUGUACUGGACGUCCUGGCCUUCCCUCCGGUUCUCCGCCGGUGCUCUUGACUGAGUGUCGGCGGCGGCCGGAACGUUUACUUUGAAAAAAUUAGAGU